rnacentral:rRNA from 1 species
ACUGCUCAGUAACACGUGGAUAACCUACCCUCAGGAGGGGGAUAACCCCGGGAAACUGGGGAUAAUACCCCAUAGAUCAGGGACGCUGGAAUGCCCCCUGAUUCAAAGGUCCGCCGCCUGAGGAUGGGUCUGCGGCCGAUUAGGUUGUUGUUGGGGUAACGGCCCAACAAGCCAUUGAUCGGUACGGGUUGUGAGAGCAAGAGCCCGGAGAUGGAUUCUGAGACACGAAUCCAGGCCCUACGGGGCGCAGCAGGCGCGAAAACUUUACAAUGCGAGAAAUCGUGAUAAGGGAACCCCGAGUGCCCGUAAAUUCGGGCUGUCCGCCAGUGUAAAUAACUGGUGAAGAAAGGGCCGGGCAAGACCGGUGCCAGCCGCCGCGGUAAUACCGGCGGCUCGAGUGGUGGCCACUAUUACUGGGCUUAAAGCGUCCGUAGCUGGAUUGUUAAGUCUCUUGGGAAAUCCACCGGCUCAACCGAUGGGCGUUCAGGAGAAACUGGCAAUCUAGGGACCGGGAGAGGUGAGAGGUACUCCAGGGGUAGGAGUGAAAUCCUGUAAUCCUUGGGGGACCACCUGUGGCGAAGGCGUCUCACUAGAACGGCUCCGACAGUGAGGGACGAAAGCUGGGGGAGCAAACCGGAUUAGAUACCCGGGUAGUCCCAGCUGUAAACGAUGCGCGUUAGGUGUAUCGGUGACCACGAGUCAUCGAGGUGCCGAAGGGAAACCGUGAAACGUGCCGCCUGGGAAGUACGGUCGCAAGGCUGAAACUUAAAGGAAUUGGCGGGGGAGCAC